GCGCUCUUAGUUCAAUGGUAGAACAGAGGUCUCCAAAACCUUUUGUUGUGGGUUCGAUUCCUUCAGGGCGUG
rnacentral:tRNA from 1 species